rnacentral:lncRNA from 1 species
UGGUGGUGGUGGUGGUGGUGGUGCCGGUGCCGCCGCCGCCGCCGGCCGCCUCGCGCCCAGUCACCGGCCCGCGGCCUCCGCGUCAGCCUCUCUCGGGCCCUCCUCCCCCCAGCCCGCGACCUCCGUCUCAGGGGAGAGCGCCCAUGACCCCUGCGCCCCAAUCCCACGCGGGUGACAGAGCGAACCGCGGCAGACGCCUCAGGGUCCCUUCCCCCGCAGCAGCCCGCCCCGGCAGCCUCCUGCCUUCCGCCCGCCGCCCUUCCGUCCCCACCCCCGGCGCUCUCCGCCCCAGCCCCCCACCGAGCCGCCUUCCCCGGCUCCUACACUAGGUGUGGCGGCGGCGGCGGCGUCUCCGGCGGCUGAGAACGAGGCAGCUUCUNNNNNNNNNNNNNNNNNNNNNNNNNNNNNNNNNNNNNNNNNNNNNNNNNNNNNNNNNNNNNNNNNNNNNNNNNNNNNNNNNNNNNNNNNNNNNNNNNNNNNNNNNCGGCCGCGCCGGCGCCCCCGCGAGGCCGGACGAAGGAACUGCGCCUGGGGGCGCCGUCGCCCACCCCGCCCGGCCAGGCCGCUGCCGCCGCCGCCGCCGCUGCCGCUGGAGACCGGACUCCCGCCCCAGACCCGGCCCUGCGCUCCCGCUGCGCCUGAUCUCGGCGUGGGAGUCCUACGCCGGGACCGAACGCUCCUGGCUGAACACAGCAGAUGUUGUGCUCCGCGAGGCGGGCAUCGCCUCUCCCAUCCUCCCCAUCCUAGGCCUACUACCCUGCCCCAAGGCAGUUUGUGAGAGGUGGUCGGAAGUGAGGGCAACGCAAGUUUCUGAGAUAAUUGGAAUCCGGAAUUUGUUGACUAGUGGCACCCAUCCGGAGAAGACUCUAAAUAGGCCCUGGCAUGAGGGAGGCAAAAAAUAAAUGUUCAAUGAAUGAAGAACGAUCGCAUUUUUUUCUUGCCACCACCCUAAAUCCCAUGCCUUUAUUGGAAACAUUCUACUUUUUCAUCUCGUUGUUGUUGCUUUUCCUGAUCGGUUUCUUCCCCGGCCACACUUCAAGACUACGCCCUCUAGACAAAUGUUUUAGACUUGGUUCCAAAAGUGAACAAAUCAAGGACUUAGGUAAUUGGCUUGAGGAGUUCCAGCCAAGAGGAUUCACAUUGCUUUGAUAAUUUCUGCCCUUAUUUUUCUUCAAUGUGUUAAUCUUUCUAUUCUAUUCGUUAAUUUUAAGUGAAUGCCAAAAUGUACUGCCACCUUCAAAAAACCAUUCUAAGAGUAAGCUAUCAUUGGAUCAAAACGAUUUAUGAAAAAGAAAUUGUGAUGAAUAGCUUUUUAAAAAAAAUGUUAUGGGGUGUCUGGGUAGUUCUGGGUUAAGCCUUUGCCUUCAGCUGAGGUCAUGAUCUCCGAGUCCUGGGAUGGAGCUCCCCACCUAUUUUAAAGAUAAAUAAAAGCUUUAAAAAUUUUUUUUAAAGGUAGGGUAUGUACUAUUCCUACAGAAAUCUUUAAUAUCCUGACAAGAGAAAAGGAAUGGACUGAAUGCAUUUGACUUAAGGAACAUUAAAGAAGUCCAACAUCCCCCACAAAGUCAAUCAUAAUUGACAUUGUGCUGUAAAUUCUACAAAUAGAACUUCAUUACCUUGAAUGAAGACUUAAUGCCUAAAGAGUCCUUUCCUUUUUUUUUCCUUUUUUUUUUUUUUUUAAUUCAAACACCUCAGGGAGAUGACCUUUUGAGCUUUUCUCCAGUAACAGGUUGGGGGCUUUAAUUUAUAUGGUUACUUUCCAACCUGAUAGUUAAAAUUUUAAUUUAGAGGAGGCAAGCAUCUGGAUCCUGCCACAGUGAAAGCAGACCUGAGAAAAGAAAAGCUGCAUGAGGGCUUUGGGACAGCCAGAUAAGAAAACCAAAAGAUGGUGAAUGUUGAAGGAAAGAUGUGCUCUUUCAGGGAACCACAAAGAAAUUUAGCUAGAGGCAGAACUAUAGAGUCCUACCAAUGAAAGUUAACAUCAUUUUCUAGUUUUUCAAAAGUGCUAUAUAAAGAACAAGAAAAUGGCACCAUAUUAUGAUUUGAACGCAACUAUUAUUCCUCAAGAAAAGCCACUAUCAUGUUUCCAUAUGAACUUGAACACUUGUACCUGCUUAUAAUUCAGAAUACCCAAUAGAGGGAGAACUUUUUAGAUGCUCGUCCAGUAUUCAAUUUUUAUUAUAAUUUCUAGACAGAUUGACCCUAGACUGAAUGGAAUAUGCCUAUUUGAGUUAGAGAUUGGAUCUAGAUGAAGUAUUCAUAAUUCUUGCAUUUUUUCUAUAUUUUGCAUCGAAAAUAUUUUGCCACGCACAUAUGAUUUUAUGGCAAUUGUAAUUAGUAUAUAUCAUUCUAUAUUUUCUUUCAGUUCUUCAGUCUUUGGAAAUAUGUUAUACAUGUUAAUCAUGUUAUACAUGUUAAUCAGCC